rnacentral:rRNA from 1 species
NGCUAUACAUGCAAGUCGAGCGGACAGAAGGGAGCUUGCUCCCGGAUGUUAGCGGCGGACGGGUGAGUAACACGUGGGUAACCUGCCUGUAAGACUGGGAUAACUCCGGGAAACCGGAGCUAAUACCGGAUAGUUCCUUGAACCGCAUGGUUCAAGGAUGAAAGACGGUUUCGGCUGUCACUUACAGAUGGACCCGCGGCGCAUUAGCUAGUUGGUGAGGUAACGGCUCACCAAGGCGACGAUGCGUAGCCGACCUGAGAGGGUGAUCGGCCACACUGGGACUGAGACACGGCCCAGACUCCUACGGGAGGCAGCAGUAGGGAAUCUUCCGCAAUGGACGAAAGUCUGACGGAGCAACGCCGCGUGAGUGAUGAAGGUUUUCGGAUCGUAAAGCUCUGUUGUUAGGGAAGAACAAGUGCAAGAGUAACUGCUUGCACCUUGACGGUACCUAACCAGAAAGCCACGGCUAACUACGUGCCAGCAGCCGCGGUAAUACGUAGGUGGCAAGCGUUGUCCGGAAUUAUUGGGCGUAAAGGGCUCGCAGGCGGUUUCUUAAGUCUGAUGUGAAAGCCCCCGGCUCAACCGGGGAGGGUCAUUGGAAACUGGGAAACUUGAGUGCAGAAGAGGAGAGUGGAAUUCCACGUGUAGCGGUGAAAUGCGUAGAGAUGUGGAGGAACACCAGUGGCGAAGGCGACUCUCUGGUCUGUAACUGACGCUGAGGAGCGAAAGCGUGGGGAGCGAACAGGAUUAGAUACCCUGGUAGUCCACGCCGUAAACGAUGAGUGCUAAGUGUUAGGGGGUUUCCGCCUCUUAGUGCUGCAGCUAACGCAUUAAGCACUCCGCCUGGGGGAGUACGGUCGCAAGACUGAAACUCAAAGGAAUUGACGGGGGCCCGCACAAGCGGUGGAGCAUGUUGNUUAAUUCGAAGCA